CAUGGCGGGUGAUCUGAGUGCAUCUGGACCGUGCUUGAUGAUGUAUUCGAUCCAGUAAAUUGCAGUGUCCAUGGCGCUCAAAGGUCGAUCUACGAACUUGACAGAUAACUUCUUCGCCGUUUCCCUGGAACGAAAUUAACGUACCAAUUAGUCAUGCGUUUGAUCAUUAACUAACAAUGCUCAAUUUGAGCAAAACUAAUAAAUAAGAACCUCUUGUUACGUUAAAUAUACAGUGAUAGUUCCACCCCCUCUUCCUGAAUGUGCAAUCCUCCGACUUCGAUUAACGCGGGCGUCAUGGCCCUUAUACCGUUCAUGGAUAUGUGAGAAUUGGCAAGAAUCAUCGAGACGUUCCUCUCCAGCUCCCUAAUGUCCGGUAUACCGGGGCCAAGGUUGUGCACGAAAUUGUACGUUCUUUGCCAGAAGUUCAUACGGGACGAGUAGUCGAAGAGAUUGUUUGGGAAGUAUGCCAGGUUCUCGGGAUUGGCGAUUAUGUCAUUGGUCCAUGGGUAGAGAGCCGACGAACUCACGCCCACUAUGGGCACUUUCAAUAGGUAGCCGAGCGCCGCGAAACAGUGAGCCCCAAAUAUCUGGAAAUUAUUUAAAUGAUCGUUGGAUUAGUCGUUUGGUAUAAUUUCUACUGAAUUUCGAGCACAAUACUCCUUUAGCAUAUUAUUUUUAUUGCAACAAAUGUGAAGGUUUCAUUGAAAUUGAAAAUUGAAUUAAGAUUGGGCGAUUCAUAAAUUAAAAUUAUUAAACGAGUAUUAGACGGACGAAAUCACAGAUGUAUAGUCGUUUUAUGUAUUGUAAUUUGACCUGAAUAUCAAGUAGAACAUUCCUUUGGAAUCUUAUUUUUACUGCAACAAAUAUGAAAGUUCGAUCAAAAUUGAAAUUAAUAUUGAGAUUAAAUUUGAGUUUGGAAUCAGCAGAUUGAAAGAGGUUCAGGACGAUGAAAAUGAGAAAUUACAGUAAAUAUAUACUCGCAACGUCUCAACCUGAUGGACAUUACAAUAUAUUCUAUACACGAAGGUAGCCAACAAAUUUCACUUAUCGCCAUUAUAUUAACCUUCCAUGUUCUCAAUCUGAUCUCCAUUACAAAGAAUCUACAUACAUGUAGAAUUUGGGAUGAUCGAGGAUGGCGAAUAAAUUAGACACGUGAGAAACUUGUAAAUAUAAUAUAAUUAAUAAUAUAAAAUUAAAAGGUAUAAAAGAAAGUUGACGAAACACGCCCACACGUACAACUGUUCUGAUUACUUCUGAUCGAAACAUGACCUUCCUUCAUACAUCUAACAGCACAUGCUGCUAGAAACGUUAUAAACCAAUGAAUAAUUCGUCUAAAAUCCAAGCAGAUC